GUGUCAGCAGCCGCGGUAAUACGGAGGAUCCAAGCGUUAUCCGGAUUCAUUGGGUUUAAAGGGUGCGUAGGCGGAAUGAUAAGUCAGUGGUGAAAGCCUGCAGCUUAACUGCAGAACUGCCAUUGAUACUGUCAAUCUUGAGUACAUUUGAUGUGGGCGGAAUGUGUCAUGUAGCGGUGAAAUGCUUAGAUAUGACACAGAACACCGAUUGCGAAGGCAGCUCACAAAACUGUAACUGACGCUGAGGCACGAAAGCGUGGGUAUCAAACAGGAUUAGAAACCCGCGUAGUCC
rnacentral:rRNA from 1 species